rnacentral:rRNA from 1 species
AGUGAACGCUGGCGGUAGGCCUAACACAUGCAAGUCGAACGGCAGCACAGUAAGAGCUUGCUCUUACGGGUGGCGAGUGGCGGACGGGUGAGGAAUACAUCGGAAUCUACUUUUUCGUGGGGGAUAACGUAGGGAAACUUACGCUAAUACCGCAUACGACCUACGGGUGAAAGCAGGGGAUCUUCGGACCUUGCGCGAUUGAAUGAGCCGAUGUCGGAUUAGCUAGUUGGCGGGGUAAAGGCCCACCAAGGCGACGAUCCGUAGCUGGUCUGAGAGGAGGAUCAGCCACACUGGAACUGAGACACGGUCCAGACUCCUACGGGAGGCAGCAGUGGGGAAUAUUGGACAAUGGGCGCAAGCCUGAUCCAGCCAUACCGCGUGGGUGAAGAAGGCCUUCGGGUUGUAAAGCCCUUUCGUUGGGAAAGAAAAGCAGCAGGUUAAUACCCCGCUGUUCUGACGGUACCCAAAGAAUAAGCACCGGCUAACUUCGUG